UACGGAGGAUGCAAGCGUUAUCCGGAUUUAUUGGGUUUAAAGGGUGCGCAGGUUGUUUGAUAAGUCAGUGGUGAAAGUCUGUCGCUUAACGGUAGGAUUGCCAUUGAUACUGUUGGACUUGAAUACGGAUGAGGUAGGCGGAAUGUGUAGUGUAGCGGUGAAAUGCAUAGAUAUUACACAGAACACCGAUUGCGAAGGCAGCUUACUAAUCCAUCAUUGACGCUGAGGCACGAAAGCGUGGGGAUCAAACAGGA
rnacentral:rRNA from 1 species